CUACGGGCCGCUGCAGUGGGGGAUAUUGCACAAUGGGCGAAAGCCUGAUGCAGCAACGCCGCGUGAAGGAAGACGGAUUUCGGUCUGUAAACUUCUAUCAGCAGGGAAGAAAAUGACUGUACCUGACUAAGAAGCCCCGGCUAACUACGUGCCAGCAGCCGCGGUAAUACGUAGGGGGCAAGCGUUAUCCGGAAUUACUGGGUGUAAAGGGUACGUAGGCGGCUGAUCAAGUCAGAUGUGAAAGCCCGGGGCUCAACCCCGGGACUGCAUUUGAAACUGGUCGGCUAGAGUGCAGGAGAGGAAAGUGGAAUUCCUAGUGUAGCGGUGAAAUGCGUAGAUAUUAGGAAGAACACCAGUGGCGAAGGCGGCUUUCUGGACUGUAACUGACGCUGAGGUACGAAAGCGUGGGGAGCGAACAGGAUUAGAUACCCCAGUAGUC
rnacentral:rRNA from 1 species